rnacentral:SRP_RNA from 1 species
CGCGUGUGGCGGGGCAAUAGCGGAGCCCUGUAACCUUCAAUCCGCUACAGGAGGGCCGAUAAACCGUAUUGAGGAUAUUUCCUGUGAGGCAGCACCGGAUAAGCGGUGUUGAAGGCCGGGUCCUGCGCGGCGGGCACCUGUGAACCUCGUCAGGUCCGGAAGGAAGCAGCGAUAAGCAGUUAUGUCCGGGCGCCGCGGGUUUGCCUGGCUGGAGCUGGCUGUUCGGAAAGCGCUCGGAGGCUAAUGUUCGAAGACGGCUGCGCG